AUUGAACGCUGGCGGCAGGCCUAACACAUGCAAGUCGAGCGGAGCGUCGGAAGGGUGAGUAAUGCAUCGGAAUCUGCCUGGUAGUGGGGGAUAACGUCCGGAAACGGGCGCUAAUACCGCAUAAUAUCAGAUGAGCCUAGGGCGGGGUAGCUAGUUGGUGGGGUAAAGGCAUACCAAGGCGACGAUCCGUAACUGGUAUGAGAGGAGGAUCAGUCAAACUGGAACUGAGACACGGUCCAGACUCCUACGGGAGGCAGCAGUGGGGAAUAUUGGACAAUGGGCGAAAGCCUGAUCCAGCAAUGCCGCGUGUGUGAAGAAGGUCUUCGGAUUGUAAAGCACUUUAAGUUGGGAGGCGUUACCAACAGAAUAAGCACCGGCUAACUUCGUGCCAGCAGCCGCGGUAAUAC
rnacentral:rRNA from 1 species